rnacentral:rRNA from 1 species
AUUGAACGCUGGCGGCAGGCCUAACACAUGCAAGUCGAGCGGCAGCACGGGUACUUGUACCUGGUGGCGAGCGGCGGACGGGUGAGUAAUGCCUAGGAAUCUGCCUGGUAGUGGGGGAUAACGCUCGGAAACGGACGCUAAUACCGCAUACGUCCUACGGGAGAAAGCAGGGGACCUUCGGGCCUUGCGCUAUCAGAUGAGCCUAGGUCGGAUUAGCUAGUUGGUGAGGUAAUGGCUCACCAAGGCUACGAUCCGUAACUGGUCUGAGAGGAUGAUCAGUCACACUGGAACUGAGACACGGUCCAGACUCCUACGGGAGGCAGCAGUGGGGAAUAUUGGACAAUGGGCGAAAGCCUGAUCCAGCCAUGCCGCGUGUGUGAAGAAGGUCUUCGGAUUGUAAAGCACUUUAAGUUGGGAGGAAGGGCAUUUACCUAAUACGUAAGUGUUUUGACGUUACCGACAGAAUAAGCACCGGCUAA